CCAACGCUCUAACCACUAGGCUACGCUGCCGCUGUUGAUAAGUGUGUGAAUUGGACCAUUUUCUGUCCUGCUAAGCAUUCAAAAUGUAACGAGUACCUUUGGGUGUCAGGGAACAUGUAAGUAAGAAAGUACAUUAUUUUCUUUAGGAAUGUAGUGAAGUAAAAAUUGACAGAAAUAUUAAUAGUAAAGUACAGAUACCCCAAAAACGAUUUUUGUAGUACUUUAAAGUAAUUCUACUUCAGUACUUUACACCACUGGAUAUGGCACAUCAUACAACACUGUGGAAAUAUGUACUGCAUGUUAUGGAAACUGCAAAGUAUCUGUUUCAGUCAACAAGUAAACAUUUGCUUCUGACACAAAAAAAAUAUAAUUGUAGAGAAAUGUCAACAGACUAGGUUUAAUCAAGAUGUCAAGGAUGAAAGGUUAAGGGUUUGUGUGCCCGCCUGUUUCAUUACAAUAUCUUCCAACCAGGUGAACCCCAGUUUAUAAUCCAGAAGUUACCUUGGGCAUUAUGAGUGAAAGAGAGACCCGGCUCUAAAUAUAUUAAACUUGUUUUGACCCACUGACUCCACCCCCGGUUAGAGGGGAAUAAAGCAGCCCAAGAAUUAACACACAGGAACCAUACUGUAUAUGAAUAUACUGUACAUACGAUAUGACAAGAGCUGUACCAACAGUAAUAAAGGACUGUAUAAAGGACAUAUCAUCCCUGAACAUGUUUACGGGUUACAAGCUAUACAGAGGACAUAUCAUCCCUGAACAUGUUUAUGGGUUACAAGCUAUACAGAGGACAUAUCAUCCCUGAACAUGUUUAUAGGUUACAAGCUAUACAGAGGACAUAUCAUCCCUGAACAUGUUUACAGGUUACAAGCUAUACAGAGGACAUAUCAUCCCUGAACAUGUUUAUAGGUUACAAGCUAUACAGAGGACAUAUCAUCCCUGAACAUGUUUAUAGGUUACAAGCUAUACAGAGGACAUAUCAUCCCUGAACAUGUUUAUAGGUUACAAGCUAUACAGAGGACAUAUCAUCCCUGAACAUGUUUAUAGGUUACAAGCUAUACAGAGGACAUAUCAUCCCUGAACAUGUUUAUAGGUUACAAGCUAUACAGAGGACAUAUCAUCCCUGAACAUGUUUACAGGUUACAAGCUAUACAGAGGACAUAUCAUCCCUGAACAUGUUUACAGGUUACAAGCUAUACAGAGGACAUAUCAUCCCUGAACAUGUUUACAGGUUACAAGCUAUACAGAGGACAUAUCAUCCCUGAACAUGUUUAUGGGUUACAAGCUAUACAGAGGACAUAUCAUCCCUGAACAUGUUUAUAGGUUACAAGCUAUACAGAGGACAUAUCAUCCCUGAACAUGUUUAUAGGUUACAAGCUAUACAGAGGACAUAUCAUCCCUGAACAUGUUUAUAGGUUACAAGCUAUACAGAGGACAUAUCAUCCCUGAACAUGUUUAUAGGUUACAAGCUAUACAGAGGACAUAUCAUCCCUGAACAUGUUUAUAGGUUACAAGCUAUACAGAGGACAUAUCAUCCCUGAACAUGUUUAUAGGUUACAAGCUAUACAGAGGAC